rnacentral:lncRNA from 1 species
UUUGAUUAAAUUAGCAACUUUAUAUCAACAAUAUUACGUUCUCAUUCUAUAUAGCCAAUUCAAACGUUUUUCAAGAUACUUUUGGUCGAAUUUCAUUAUACAUUUCGAUAACCUAAGCUUAGAGGCUUUAAAUUCGACUUCCCCAAUUUUGAAUUCAAAAGUGGCACCAAAUAUAAUUUAUUUGAUUAUAUUAGCAACUUUUUAUCAACUUUAUUACAUCAUCAUUAUUUACUACUAACUAACAGUUUUUUCUAGAUGCUUUUGGAUGAAACUCAUUCUAUAUUUUUCUUUAAAAAUAACAUAAGUUUAGGUGCAAUAAAGUUCGACUUGCCCAAUUUGAAUAGAUAAGUGUCACCAAAUAUAAUUCAUUGGAUUAAAUUAGCAACUUUAUAUCAACAAUAUUACGUUCUCAUUCUAUAUAGCCAAUUAAAACGUUUUUCAAGAUGCUUUUGGUCGAAUUUUAUUAUACAUUUCGAUAACGUAAGCUUAGAGGCUUUAAAUUCGACUUCCCCAAUUUUGAAUUCAAAAGUGGCACCAAAUAUAAUUUAUUUGAUUAUAUUAGCAACUUUUUAUCAACUUUAUUACGUUUUCAUUAUUUAUAACUAACUAACAGUUUUUUCUAGACGCUUUUGGAUGAAAUUCAUUCUAUAUUUCUCUUUAAAAAUAACAUAAGUUUAGGUGCAAUAAAGUUCGACUUGCCCAAUUUGAAUAGAUCAGUCUCACCAAAUAUAAUUCAUUUUAUUAAAUUAGCAACUUUAUAUCAACAUUAUUACGUUCUCAUUCUAUAUAGCUAAUUAAAACGUUUUUCUAGACGGUAUUGGUCGAAUUUCAUUAUACAUUUCGAUAACCUAAGUUUAAAGGCUAUAAAUUUGACUUCAACAAUUUUGAAUUGCAAAGUGGCAACAAAUAUAAUUUAUUUGAUUAUAUAAGCAACUUUUUAUCAACUUUAUUACGUUUUCAUUAUUUAUAACUAACUAAAAGUUUUUUCUAGAAGCUUUUGGAUGAAAUUCAUUCUAUAUUUCUCUUUAAAAAUAACAUAAGUUUAGAUGCAAUAAAGUUCGACUUGCCCAAUCUGAAUAGAGAAGUGUCACCAAAUAUAAUACAUUUGAUUAAAUUAGCAACUUGAAAUCAACAUUAUUACGUUCUCAUUCUAUAUAGCCAAUUAAAACGUUUGUCUAGACACUUUUGGUCGAAUUUCAUUACACGUUUCGAUAACAUAAGUUUAGAGGCUAUAAAUUCGACUUCCCCAAUUUUGAAUUCAAAAGUGGGACCAAAUAUAAUUUAUUUGAUUAUAUUACCAACUUUUUAU